AGGACGUUGCCGUGGCAGGAGGAUGCUGCUGAGGCAGGAGGAUGGAAGGUUGCUGUUGUGGCUGGAGGAUGUUUUUAUGGCAAGAGGAUGUUGUCGUGGGAGGAGGAUGAUGUCACAGUGGGAGGAUGCUGUGGCAGGAUGAUGCUGCCAUGGCAGGAGGAUGCUGCAGGCACCAGGAAGCCUCGUGUCUCUCUGUAAUUUAUCCCACCAGGCCGGGAAGGUGAUGCCAUAACGUUUGCUUUUAACAGGGAGCAGAAGCGCUAGCCUGCAGUGUGAAAACCCCCGAGUGAUUAGCCAGAAGAGUUAAUUAUCCUGUCGUUAAGAGGAGAGGGAAGCGCUGGCAGAGCCUGUGUGGGAAGCUCCAUCCCCAGGAUUCAAACCAGAGGAGGAUCAAUAGAUUUAUCUGAGCGGAGGAACUCGGUCUGUCAGAGCAGCUGAAUUAUUUAUGGGCCUGGAGGGGCCUUUCCCGGGAGGCUGCAGAGCAUCCACCUUCACAGCCACAAUUACAGCUCUCUUUACAAAACCAA